UAUGGACGAUGGUCCACCGUCGCCCAACUAAAAAUAGCAUGUAAAACCAAGUAUGCGCAUGCUCAGUGGCGGGCGCAGUAAAUGGUUAAAGUGAAAGUAGAUGUCGCCGCCAUUUUGAGUGGUUGGUAAACUGUGGUUUGUGUCCAAAUAAUUAGACGACACCAAACGCAAAGCCUAUCCCAAGGCAAUGCCCCAUUUGCGUGGUAAAAGGCAACACGACUGUGUACCUCCGGGUAACAGACCACGUUCGCUGGGUGCAAGCCCUGACGGCAGACCCCAUGAAACCGUUGAUGUCAGAGGCACGUGCUAAGACGGUCGGAAAGUGAAGAAGACAAAGCCGAGGAAUUGCUACUCUUGCUGGCUGUGCGACCGGUCGGUGAUUGACCGGCUGCGUCAUCUAGAACAGGAGCACAAAAUGGAGGCUGGGACAUUCAAUUUUGUUUACACAAGAGGGCCGUUUCCGGAAAGUCGCGAAAACUUCAGGAAAGGUGACCAGCAGACUCGCCACUCAAGAUGACUCGGCAUAGGAGGAUGAGAAGGUGGAGGAUGAGGAGGAGGAGGAAGAGGACUUUUCAUUCCUAACGCGGAAAUACUGCCUGAGCCUGGAACCCAAUGCAAGGGUGAUGCAUGGUCGGAGAAGCUGCAAUUUCAAUCGUUGACUCAUAUGUAGACUACAUGUUCCUGCGGAGCAGGCCAGGUGGGUUGGCAAACGAGUCGAAAACACAAGAGGUCAACAUGAAGAUCAACCGGUUCCUGGCCCUGUCUGGCUACUUGGAAGGAGUGGUGUUGAGUGACGUGCUGUUGUGGAUGGGCCAUAUGGAGGUCCACGACAGUUCCCAACACCACUCACCAGCUGAAGACGGUGCGGAAUGCUCUAACGGCAAUCAAGAACUUCCUGAAGUGGUGCGAGGGAAUGGUCUAGCGGACGCCCGCACAUUGAACAAUGUAAGCGUAAACUUAGGAUUUGAUUUAUGUAAAUUAUUCAUUCUUCUUGGACAUCUACUUAUUAAUGUUUUGGCGUUGGCGUCUUUCUGUCUGUUCUUCCGUCCAUCUUUCCGUCCGUCCAGCACUUUUGUGUCGAGAGCCAUAUCUUGAAAGUGCUUUGGCCGAUUUCAUUGAAACUUGGUAUGAGUAUAUAUAUGGAUAAGAGGACGAUGCACGCCAAAUGGCAUUGUACACAGUCUGUUAAUAACGGGGUUUUGGCCCUUUGUAUCUUGAAGCUUUUUUGAGUGUCAAACAUAACACUUUUGUGUCCAGAAGCAUAUUGGCGGGGGAUAUCAAUUCAACAAAUUUGCUUGUUUAGCUUUAUUUUUUUUCGGCCGAUCUCCUUC